GGGGAUGAAACAGAUUCGAUGGAAGAACUUUCCAAAAUAGGCAGAUCGAGCAGGAUCGUCCACUCGUAAAACGGUCGAUCAAAAAAAUAAGUGCCAACUUAUUUGAGAAAGCUAAGUACGCUAUUGCUGGCAUUAGAUGGCCAGGUUUAGCUCCUAGCUUCGUUUAUGCUUAAUACGGGGCCACAAACUCCACGUUAAGCCAUCCGAACCUUGAUUCUCGAUAAAGGAUUUUUGGGUGUUAUAUUUUCGAGAUAGGUAAUUGUUGCGUCUUAAACAAUUAUCAAAAUUUAGAGACUAGAAACAUUAGAAUUUUGUCUGUUUUUAAUCUAAUGUUUCAAAAAAAAUAAAACAGACUAAAUCUGUAGAUCUGUUUUGAAAAGCCUUCCAGACGCGAGGGCAGUACUCGCCAUCUCCACAU
rnacentral:tmRNA from 4 species